AUGAACGCUGGCGGCGUGCCUAAUCCAUGCAAGUCGAGCGAACAGACGAGGAGCUUGCUCCUUUGACGUUAGCGGCGGACGGGUGAGUAACACGUGGAUAACCUACCUAUAAGACUGGGAUAACUUCGGGAAACCGGAGCUAAUACCGGAUAACAUGUUGAACCGCAUGGUUCAACAGUGAAAGACGGUCUUGCUGUCACUUAUAGAUGGAUCCGCGCCGCAUUAGCUAGUUGGUAAGGUAACGGCUUACCAAGGCAACGAUGCGUAGCCGACCUGAGAGGGUGAUCGGCCACACUGGAACUGAGACACGGUCCAGACUCCUACGGGAGGCAGCAGUAGGGAAUCUUCCGCAAAGGGCGAAAGCCUGACGGAGCAACGCCGCGUGAGUGAAGAAGGUCUUCGGAUCGUAAAACUCUGUUAUUAGGGAAGAACAAAUGUGUAAGUAACUAUGCACGUCUUGACGGUACCUAAUCAGAAAGCCACGGCUAACUACGUG
rnacentral:rRNA from 1 species